rnacentral:ncRNA from 1 species
UUACUAUUGGAAGUGAAGAAAAAGAGUCCUAAGAUGAGCUCAGGGAGGACAGAAACCUCCCAUGGAGAAGAAGGGCAAGAGCUCGCUUGAUCUUGAUUUUCAGUAUGAAUAAAGACCCUGAAAGCAGAGCUUCACAUCCUUCUGACCUUUGGGGUUUUAAGCAGGAA